UUGGUGAGGUAACGGCUCACCAAGGCGACGACGGGUAGCCGGCCUGAGAGGGCGACCGGCCACACUGGAACUGAGAUACGGUCCAGACUCCUACGGGAGGCAGCAGUGGGGAAUAUUGGGCAAUGGGGGAAACCCUGACCCAGCGACGCCGCGUGAGGGAAGACGGCCUUCGGGUUGUAAACCUCUUUUGUACGGGAAGAAGGACGUGACGGUACCGUGCGAAUAAGUCCCGGCUAACUACGUGCCAGCAGCCGCGGUAAUACGUAGGGGACGAGCGUUGUCCGGAAUUACUGGGCGUAAAGGGCGCGCAGGCGGUAUAUCAAGUCAGCUGUCAAAGACUGGGGCUCAACCCUGGUAUGCGGUUGAAACUGAUAUGCUGGAGUGCUGUAGAGGCAAGUGGAAUUCCCAGUGUAGCGGUGAAAUGCGUAGAUAUUGGGAAGAACACCGGUGGCGAAGGCGACUUGCUGGGCAGCAACUGACGCUGAGGCGCGAAAGCCAGGGGAGCAAACGGGAUUAGAUACCCCGGUAGUCCUGGCCGUAAACGAUGAAUGCUAGGUGUGUGUGUAGAGAUACAUGCGUGCCGGAGUUAACGC
rnacentral:rRNA from 1 species